rnacentral:rRNA from 1 species
AACGAACGCUGGCGGCAUGCCUAACACAUGCAAGUCGAACGAGACCUUCGGGUCUAGUGGCGCACGGGUGCGUAACGCGUGGGAAUCUGCCCUUGGGUUCGGGAUAACAGUUGGAAACGACUGCUAAUACCGGAUGAUGUCUUCGGACCAAAGAUUUAUCGCCCAGGGAUGAGCCCGCGUCGGAUUAGCUAGUUGGUGAGGUAAAGGCUCACCAAGGCGACGAUCCGUAGCUGGUCUGAGAGGAUGAUCAGCCACACUGGGACUGAGACACGGCCCAGACUCCUACGGGAGGCAGCAGUGGGGAAUAUUGGACAAUGGGCGAAAGCCUGAUCCAGCAAUGCCGCGUGAGUGAUGAAGGCCUUAGGGUUGUAAAGCUCUUCUACCCGGGAUGAUAAUGACAGUACCGGGAGAAGAAGCCCCGGCUAACUUCGUGCCAGCAGCCGCAGUAAUAC